GACGAACGCUGGCGGCGUGCUUAACACAUGCAAGUCGAACGGAAAGGCCCUGCUUUGUGGGGUGCUCGAGUGGCGAACGGGUGAGUAACACGUGAGUAACCUGCCCUUGACUUUGGGAUAACUUCAGGAAACUGGGGCUAAUACCGGAUAGGAGCUCCUGCUGCAUGGUGGGGGUUGGAAAGUUUCGGCGGUUGGGGAUGGACUCGCGGCUUAUCAGCUUGUUGGUGGGGUAGUGGCUUACCAAGGCUUUGACGGGUAGCCGGCCUGAGAGGGUGACCGGCCACAUUGGGACUGAGAUACGGCCCAGACUCCUACGGGAGGCAGCAGUGGGGAAUAUUGCACAAUGGGCGGAAGCCUGAUGCAGCAACGCCGCGUGCGGGAUGACGGCCUUCGGGUUGUAAACCGCUUUCGCCUGUGACGAAGCAUGAGUGACGGUAAUGGGUAAAGAAGCACCGGCUAACUACGUG
rnacentral:rRNA from 1 species